rnacentral:rRNA from 1 species
UACGGGGGGGUGCGAGCGUUGUCCGGAAUCACUGGGCGUAAAGGGCGCGUAGGCGGAUUUGUAAGUCGGGGGGUGAAAUCCCGGGGCUCAACCUCGGAACUGCCUUCGAUACUGCAAAUCUCGAGUCCGGAAGAGGUGAGUGGAAUUCCUAGUGUAGAGGUGAAAUUCGUAGAUAUUAGGAAGAACACCAGUGGCGAAGGCGGCUCACUGGUCCGGUACUGACGCUGAGGCGCGAAAGCGUGGGGGAGCAAACAGG